rnacentral:lncRNA from 1 species
AUUUUAUGUUUAUUAUGCUCAAUAUUUAAACGUUCCAUAAAAAGAAAAUCUUUCAAAAAUUAUUUUUAUUUUUUAUAAUUAUUAGAAUAUAUUACCACAAUAGUAUGAUUUAUUUUAAAUGGUAAUAAUAGUAGAAUUUGCUAAAAAAAUAAAAAUAACCAAAUUUGCAAAUUAUUAAAUCAUUAAAAUUAAAAUAUAGGUAAUAAUUUCACAUUCUUCAAUAUUUAUAAUCAAAUAAAAUAUAUGUGAUCAAUCAAUUAUGUGUUUUAAUU